rnacentral:sRNA from 1 species
GUGGUAGGCCUAGGCCUAGUGCAGUGUGUUGUGCUUUCGUUUUCUCGAUUGGGCGGUCGCCCAGAUGAUGGAUUUCUACUAGCUGUGGAUACUGUGUUGUUACAAAAUUGUUUCCGAUCAUGGAGUUUAUGAAUGUAAUUUCGAUGUUUGGUUAGUUCCGUGUUUGCAUUGAGUGUGUAGAUUAGCGGAGGCAGAUCAGCUGGACAUCGCAACCGGUGUCAUUGACCCCUAGCAGAACACGGAACCUCUCAACCUGCACUCAAAUAGCAUUCAAGAUGGCGAACGCUAGCAACGGGGAACCAUCCAAAAAGGAAACCUGUGUAAACUUUGAACAAGGCUCAGGUUUAGAGUCCGACCAGGUCGAAAUAACAAUUCAUACUCCAUCGAAAGGCCACAAGAGAAAAAAGCAAGGGUGUCAGUUUUUGCCGAAGCCAUUCGAGCGUUCCAAUGGAAGCUUGUUGAAUCCAAGAUUUGACAGUGAGAUUUUGGAAUCUUUUUUGGUAAAAUGCUACUUACCACAAACCCGAAGAAUGUUCAGGAAAACAGUGCACUACGUCGCUGUAGCUUCCUUUUGUUGGGGCUUGUACUUCGCUCUUAUGCAGAUCCGCUACCCAACAGAACAUUGCAUUUACUACAUUGUGAGUGCAGCUGUCCUACUCCUCCUCAUGCUGGGUUUCUCAUUCUUUACACGUACCAGGCAUUUUGCAAACUAUUCAAAGAUUGUCUCUUUCGUUCUUGCCAUUUUGCUAGUUGUAACAGUCCAACUUCCGUAUGUUUUCGAUGAUCCUGAUAUAUCGCCCAUCGGAACAUUCUGUAGUGUUGUUGAAAUAUUAAUUUUGUUGUACUCAUUUUUUCCCUUCAACCUUUUCACUGCUGUUGGACUCGGGGGCUUCCUCUCAAUAACCUAUGAGGUGUUUACAGCUCUUAGAUACGAUAAAAUGCAAGAAGUGAGUUUUAUCAUCUGUAAAGUUCUAUUGCACUUCAUUCUUCACCUCAUUGGUGUCUUCAUUUUCAUAACGUCCAACACGAGGUUGAGGAGCAACUUUUCUAAGAUCGGUCAGUCAGUGAGUGCGCAGCGGGACCUCAUGGUGGAAAGGGAAAUCAAAGAAAAAAUGAUUCAUUCCCUUAUGCCUCCGUCUGUGGCCAAAUCUGUAAUGGCUACCCACCCGGCCAAGGAUGAAGAAGACGAAGAGGAAAACUCCAGGAGAAGACGCAAGACAAGGCAUGUGAGGGGAGAAAUUAUUUUCCGAAAGUUUCAAAUGGAUGAGAUGAAGAAUGUCAGCAUUCUGUUUGCGGAUAUCGUCGGAUUUACCAAGAUGAGCUCUAAUAAAACUGCCGAGCGCCUUGUGGGUCUCCUCAAUGAUCUUUUUGGAAGGUUCGACAAGUUGUGCAAUGCUUCAGGCUGUGAAAAAAUCAGCACCCUUGGAGAUUGCUAUUACUGUGUUUCUGGAUGUCCAAGUCCCAGCCCGGAUCAUGCUAAAUGCUGUGUGGAAAUGGGCCUGAGCAUGGUUCUUGCCAUCCAAGCGUUUGAUGAAGAUCAUAAUGAGGAGGU